GUCUGGGUUCAGUAAACAAAAUGAAGAAUUUCUCUAGCACUCUUUUGGGAAUUGCUCUGAGAGGAGAACCUGAACACUUGACAGAGAACUCGUGUUCACCUGGGAAUCACAUGAAAUAUCAGAGACACUGUUGACAGUUUUGAGAUAAAUUAUGAAGCAUUGACCAGCAGUAUGAAAAUUAGGGACCGGAUUAUAUGAGGUGCAGAAAAGCAAGGAUCUAGAAAAUAAAAUAGACAUCUGGAACAGAAGAGAGAACAACAGAGUGACAGAAAUAACCAAAUUCACUGAGGCCAAGUAAUACAUAUCUCAUCUGAGAUUUUUCAUUCUAGACAGACUCAUCCUGCAUUCUGGCCUAGUGUCUGGAGUAGAACCAGGGUUUCAGGGCCAUGUAGAAGGACAGAAGGUCAGAGCCAUCUGAACCUCACAGGGCUUGUGCUGCAGAGAGAAGACAUGCCUCCAGGGCUCUCCAGGUGACACAGUUUCAUAAAAAGGAACCAAAGCAUGCACACUCUACUGGAUCUUGUGGGCCCAUCCCUGUACUAUGAAGGACUGUGUAUGUGAUCAUCAGCACCUUUAAUUGUACUUGGAAGUCCAUAGGAAGCAAGGGCAACUU